AGGCUAAGGCUGAGGACAGCCGGAGCCGGAGCGAAAGCGAGUCUGAAUAGGGCGAAAGUCAGUGGCGGCAGACGCGAAACCCGGUGAUCUACGCAUGGGCAGGUUGAAGAAGCCGUAACAGGCUUUGGAGGACCGAACCCGUUCACGUUGAAAAGUGUUGGGAUGACCUGUGCGUAGGGGUGAAAGGCCAAUCAAACCGGGAGAUAGCUCGUACUCUUCGAAAUGCCUUUAGGGGCAGCCUGGUUGCGUAAUGACUGGAGGUAGAGCUACCGAUAGAGCUAGGAGGGGACCACUCCGACCGAACUCUGACGAACUCCGAAUGCCAGCCAUGAGACAACUGGAGUGAGGCGUUGGGUGCUAAGGUCCAACGCCGAGAGGGGAACAACCCAGACCCACAGCUAAGGUCCCGAAGUACGGAUUAAGUUGGUUUAAUGAAGUUUGGACGCGAAGACAGCCAGGAGGUUAGCUUGGAAGCAGCUAUUCCUUUAAAGAGUGCGUAACAGCUCACUGGUCGAGUGUCCGGGCGCAGAGAAUAAGCGGGCAGAAAUCCGUCACCGAAGCUUGGGAACAGCAGUUGGUAGAAGAGCAUUGUACGGGUGCGGAAGGCGGGUCGUGAGGCCUGUUGGAGCGCGUACAAGAGAAACUGUAGGCAUAAGUAACGAUAAAGCAGGUGAAAAACCUGCUCGCCGGAAGGCCAAGGGUUCCUGUUCAACGCUAAUCGGAACAGGGGUUAGUCGGGCGCUAAGGCGUAGCCGAAAGGUGAAGCCGAUGCAAAAACGGUUAAUAUUCCGUUACCUGGCGAGUUGAGUGAUGGGGUGACGCAGAAGCGUAAGCGCACCGCCCUGACGGAAUAGGGCGGUAAAGGUCAAAGCUAAAUCCUGGGUAGUUAAAUGCGCCUGGGAUGGCGAAGGCCGACAGUACACGGAUGCUACGGCGGAAGUGAAAGCGUGACAGCAGACUGCCAAGAAAAGCCUCUAAACGAUGAAACUCACCAGCCCGUACCGUAAACCGACACAGGUGGCCAAGGAGAGUAUCCACAGGCGCUCGGGUGAUGCACGGCUAAGGAACUCGGCAAAUUCACCCUGUAACUUCGGGAGAAGGGGAGCCCUUCGGGGCCGCAGUGAAGAGGCCCAAACGACUGUUUAGCAAAAACACAGGACUCUGCAAAAGCGCAAGCUGACGUAUAGGGUCUGACACCUGCCCGGUGCCGGAAGGUUAAGGGGGGGCGUGAAAGCGCUGAACCGAAGCCCCGGUAAACGGCGGCCGUAACUAUAACGGUCCUAAGGUAGCGAAAUUCCUUGUCGGGUAAGUUCCGACCUGCACGAAUGGUGUAACGAUUUGGGCGCUGUCUCGGCCGUGCGCCCGGUGAAAUUGUAGUCCCGGUGAAGAUGCCGGGUACCCGCUACGGGACGAAAAGACCCCGUGAACCUUCACUACAACUUGACAUUGGUCACGUGAGCAACAUGUGUAGGAUAGGUGGGAG
rnacentral:rRNA from 1 species